rnacentral:tRNA from 1 species
CCGACCUUAGCUCAGUUGGUAGAGCGGAGGACUGUAGUGGGUUUAAAAUCCUGAUAGAAAUCCUUAGGUCACUGGUUCGAAUCCGGUAGGUCGGA